rnacentral:rRNA from 1 species
AUUGAACGCUGGCGGCAUGCCUUACACAUGCAAGUCGAACGGUAACGCGGGGCAACCUGGCGACGAGUGGCGAACGGGUGAGUAAUGCAUCGGAACGUGCCCAGUUGUGGGGGAUAACUGCUCGAAAGAGCAGCUAAUACCGCAUACGACCUGAGGGUGAAAGCGGGGGAUCGCAAGACCUCGCGCAAUUGGAGCGGCCGAUGUCGGAUUAGCUAGUUGGUGGGGUAAAGGCCCACCAAGGCGACGAUCCGUAGCUGGUCUGAGAGGACGACCAGCCACACUGGGACUGAGACACGGCCCAGACUCCUACGGGAGGCAGCAGUGGGGAAUUUUGGACAAUGGACGCAAGUCUGAUCCAGCCAUGCCGCGUGCGGGAAGAAGGCCUUCGGGUUGUAAACCGCUUUUGUCAGGGAAGAAAUCUUCUGGGUUAAUACCUCGGGAGGAUGACGGUACCUGAAGAAUAAGCACCGGCUAACUACGUGCCAGCCGCCGCAGUAACAC